GUGGUAGCGGGGUCGAGGGUUGCGUAGUAGUUUAGCGCGAGGGGAACUCAGAAAACGUCGGAAGGGGACCAGGCAGGACCUUGUCUAAUAUUAAUCAAUGGACUUGGAAGGACAGGUGUUCAUCAGGCAAAUCAAUUUCAAUCAGUUCCUCCCUGCCUCACCAAAGCAGUUACCUUGUCCCAUGAUGGUGCUGCAACUCUCAAUGCCACACAGCUUCUUUCAGCCUCUGUCAGGGCAAGGGGAGAGCACUCUUGCUGGAAGAUGAGGAAAGCUGGCAGGAGAAAUUCAUGGCCAGGAGGCUUUUUUUCCCAGUUAUCCACUACAAAAUGCUGUAUGUCUUGGCCCACCCCAAGCAUUUGGCCUAGUUUCCCUUUCUAAGAAGUGUUUGGGACUGCUACGCAUCCUA